rnacentral:rRNA from 1 species
UUAGUGGCGGACGGGUGAGUAACGCGUGGAUAACCUGCCGUAUACAGGGGGAUAACACUUAGAAAUAGGUGCUAAUACCGCAUAAGCGCACGGUUCCGCAUGGAACAGUGUGAAAAACUCCGGUGGUGUAAGAUGGACCCGCGUCUGAUUAGCUUGUUGGCGGGGUAGAGGCCCACCAAGGCGACGAUCAGUAGCCGGCCUGAGAGGGUGGACGGCCACAUUGGGACUGAGACACGGCCCAAACUCCUACGGAAGGCAGCAG